rnacentral:rRNA from 1 species
CCUACGGGGGGCAGCAGUGAGGAAUAUUGGUCAAUGGUCGGGAGACUGAACCAGCCAAGCCGCGUGAGGGAUGAAGGUACAGAGUAUCGUAAACCUCUUUUGUCAGGGAACAAAGGCGGGGACGUGUCCCCGGAUGAGUGUACCUGAAGAAAAAGCAUCGGCUAACUCCGUGCCAGCAGCCGCGGUAAUACGGAGGAUGCGAGCGUUAUCGGGUUUUAUUGGGUUUAAAGGGUGCGCGGGCGGUCUGUUAAGUCAGCGGUAAAAGCCCGGGGCUCAACCCCGGCCCGCCGUUGAGACGGGGAGUCGCGAGUUGGAGAGAAGUAUGCGGAAUGAGCGGUGUAGCGGUGAAAUGCAUAGAUAGCGCGAAGAACUCGCAUUGCGAAGGCGGCAUGCCGGCUCCACACUGACGCUGAGGCACGAAAGCGUGGGUAUCGAACAGGAGUAGAUACCCUUGUAGUC